AUAAGACUACAAUUAUAUGUACUAGUUUGUGUUCUGUUUCCACUGAAAAAUGUCACUUUUAUAGUCUUUAUAUCAUUUGUAUAGAGAAUAUUUCAUUGUUUCACUGUAAUGAAAUCCAACCAUUUCCUCUCUUUUCUUUUCUUUUCUUUUUAAGUAACUUGAGCAAAAGCGACUAUUCCAGUGUGAAACCUGGCUCUGGAGAGUUGGCCAUGGGGUACUCUCUCAUCUUAUUUUACAGCAAAAAGUAUUUUCCAAGGAAUAACUACUUUCAGAACAUUACAAGAGAUUGUUACGAUGGAAGUAGAUCAAGACUCAGAUGGCCUCGUCAGCUUUAAAGACUUCGAAUAUGCCAUGAACUAUGGGCAGAAAUCAACCUAACGGUGUGAAUUGCUUUCAGCAACUUCCAGAGAGACCAAUAGAUUGCCAUGUAUUUAAAUGUCAACAUUCACUCUACCAAUAAUGGAGUGCUACAUACUCGCGAUUAAACUCUUAUCACGGUUUUCAGAUGCUGAUAAUUGCUGCGUCUCAAAAUCCUAGAGGUGGUCAUUACAGGUAGUUUCCUUCCAUCCAUGUGCCUGGCAGCACUGAGCCAGGCUGCUGCUGUGGCUCUGCCACGGGGGAGGUCCCCAACCCCUCUGCUUCUCUCUCAACCCCCACUCUGCAGGCCAGGAUGCUCCACUCCUCUACUGGUUCUUGCCACCCACCUGAGCUCCCUGAUUCUUAUCAAUUCCUGACUUCAGGAGAAGAGUCACUUUUUCCCGCCAAUGGGCCAGUUUCCUUCAUGCCUUCAACUUGGUUGAACAAAUAAUAGCACCUACCUGUACUGCAAGCUCACUGUGUUCCAGGAAUUGCCGGCGCCCUUCGCCAAGGAGCUGGGGAAGAGAUCGGGCAUUUGCUGAGGAGCUGCGGGCUGCUGCCCACG